rfam:Epulopiscium sp. SCG-C07WGA-EpuloA2 SCGC07WGA_27, whole genome shotgun sequence.
GGAGAAAUACCCAAGAGGUCGAAGGGGCUCCCCUGGAAAGGGAGUAGGUCGUGAAAGCGGUGCGAGGGUUCGACUCCCUCUUUCUCCG